CCGGUGCGGGAUGAAGGCCUCGGGUUGUAAACCGCUUUCAGUAGGGAAGAAGCGAAAGUGACGGUACCUACAAAAGAAGCACCGGCUAACUAUGUGCCAGCAGCCGCGGUAAUACAUAGGGUGCAAGCGUUGUCCGGAAUUAUUGGGCGUAAAGAGCUCGUAGGUUGUUCGUUACGUCGGAUGUGAAAAUCUGGGGCUCAACCCCAGACCUGCAUUCGAUACGGGCGAACUAGAGUGUGGUAGGGGAGACUGGGAUUCCUGGUGUAGCGGUGGAAUGCGCAGAUAUCAGGAGGAACACCAAUGGCGAAGGCAGGUCUCUGGGCCAUUACUGACACUGAGGAGCGAAAGUCUGGGGAGCGAACAGGAUUAGAUACCCUGGUAGUCCAGACCGUAAACGGUGGGCGCUAGUUGUGGGAACCUUCCACGGUUUCUGCGACGCAGCUAACGCAUUAAGCGCCCCGNCUGGGGAGUACGAUCGCAAGAUUAAAACUCAAAGGAAUUGACGGGGCCCCGUAAAAGCAGCGGAGCAUGCGGCUUAAUUCGA
rnacentral:rRNA from 1 species